rnacentral:rRNA from 1 species
AACGAACGCUGGCGGCAUGCCUAACACAUGCAAGUCGAACGAGACCUUCGGGUCUAGUGGCGCACGGGUGCGUAACGCGUGGGAACCUGCCCUUAGGUUCGGAAUAACUCCCCGAAAGGGGGCUUAAUACCGGUUAAUGUUUUCGGACAAAAGAUUAAUCGCCUUUGGAUGGGCCCGCGUUGGAUUAGCUAGUUGGUAGGGUAAAAGCCUACCAAGGCGACGAUCCAUAGCUGGUCUGAGAGGAUGAUCAGCCACACUGGGACUGAGACACGGCCCAGACUCCUACGGGAGGCAGCAGUGGGGAAUAUUGAACAAUGGGCGAAAGCCUGAUCCAGCAAUGCCGCGUGAGUGAUGAAGGCCUUAGGGUUGUAAAGCUCUUUUACCCGGGAUGAUAAUGACAGUACCGGGAGAAUAAGCUCCGGCUAACUCCGUG